rnacentral:lncRNA from 1 species
CCCGCCUCUGUUCAGGUAGGAGGCGGUAUGCGGGGGAGGGGAGUCACCUGAGGGCGGGGAUCUCAGGUCUUGGGGAGCCAUUGUUGGCGAACCCCAACUUCCGAUACGACCCGGAGCUGUUCCUGCAGUUCCAGAGACAAUUCAUGGGUCUUGGGGCCACCGAGGCGCUGUCCCUGACCACCAGCACGAGACCCCUUUCUAUCGCGCCAGUCCUGUGGUCUCCGCACCUCUCCAGCUCCUGCACCCCCGGCCCCCGUGGUUCCCAGCCGCACAGUAGCGUGUCCUGGGUAGCGUGAGGACCCACGGGGCUGGGCAGGUGCCACGAGCCCGCCGCCUCUUCGCCGCCCGCCGCCUCUCCUCCUCUCCCGCCCGCCGCCUGGCCCUCCCCUACCAGGCUGAGCCUCUGGGUGCCAGAAGCGCGGGGCCUCCGGGAGAAUACGUGCGGUCGCCCGCUCCGCGUGCGCCUACGCCUUCUGCUCCAGUUGCUUUCCCAAUUGAGCGGAAAAGCCGGGGCAUGUUGCCGGGGCCCUGGGCGGGACGGUUGUGCCCUGCAGCCCGAAGCCCGCCGGGGCACCUUCCCGCCCACGAGCUGCCCAGUCCCUCUGCUUGCGGCCCCUGCCAACGUCCCACAGGUUGGAAACCAGACCCUGCAGCCCCCAGCUAGCCCGAAGGAAGCCCAGACUGACGUCGCAGGGUAAUGGGGACCCAGAGGUAGCUCUGUGGGGCCCCAUCAGGACCUCAGCCCUUAGCGGGGCUUUCUGUGUGACACCGUGGGACCUGAACUGGGGAGGUCCCCCUUGCACAGAAUUACAAGGGGCAACUGUAGGAAACAAUUAAAUCUAUUAUGUGCUAAGUAUUGAGAGUUCCACGGAUUGAGGCCCUCUCUAGAAGGCUUAGAAGUGGGGUAGCCGGGGUAUGUGUCUGACUUUGUGUUUUGGUGCGGUGGUGGUGAGUGGGUGUAGAAACUAAUAGUGCCAAGUGCAGUGCCUGUCAACUAGUAAGUUAAUAAACCUUCCGUGAAUGAAUGAGAAGGUUCUGUGACUGAGGGAGCAGGGCUAGAGAGGGCAUCUCUGCUCAUCCCACCCCUGCCUCCCCUGGGCUCAGGCAGACAAAAGUAAUUAGGUUGAACCUUUAAUCAAAGCUGGUUUCACAGGCAAGCAGACAUGAUAGAGGAGGUAAAGGCAGAAAUCCUGGGGACACAGGGUGCUGGCCUGGCUCACAGGCAUGCCUCCUUCCGGGACCUCCUCCACCCCCUACAGUUUGGCGCUCAGUAAUCUCUUGUUUUCUUGUCUCCCUCAGGACACUGGGUCCCCUUGGAGCCUCCCCAGGCUUAAUGAUUGUCCAGAAGGCGGCUAUAAAGGGAGCCUGGGAGGCUGGGUGGAGGAGGGAGCAGAAAAAACCCAACUCAGCAGAUCUGGGAACUGUGAGAGCGGCAAGCAGGAACUGUGGUCAGAGGCUGUGCGUCUUGGCUGGUAGGGCCUGCUCUUUUCUACCAUGGCAGCCCAGGGCUAUGGCUAUUAUCGCACUGUGAUCUUCUCAGCCAUGUUUGGGGGCUACAGCCUGUAUUACUUCAAUCGCAAGACCUUCUCCUUUGUCAUGCCAUCAUUGGUGGAAGAGAUCCCUUUGGACAAGGAUGAUUUGGGUGAGCCCUGAAACAGCAGGGUGGUGGACCUGGGGACACAGAACCAGCCAGACACACUGGGUGUUUGUGUACAGGCAUGUGGUGUGGGUGGAUUGUCUGCACAGUAGAGGCCAGGGGCCAGUCUGCAUAUGCCAGAUAAAGAAGCUCUGAGAUCCAUGGACAUGGGUGCCUGCGGGGCUAAGGAGGGCUGCUUAUUUGACGUGUGUGUGCAUGCCCUGGAGGCACUGUUUAUUCCGAGAGUGUUUGAGGGGCUUCUGAGCAUGGUUUUCACACCUGUGUGGGUGCAUGUGGAGGCUUCAGGGUGAGUGCUGGCUACUGACACUGUGAGCACUGGGAACUAAAAAGUUGGCACAACGACUUCAUGUGGCCUGGCAUGCUACCCUUCAGGAGGGACAAGGUCCCUGACUCCAAUCCUGAGCCCUUUGCCCCAUGUUGGGUGGUGGAGCAACAGAACUGCUAGAGGCCCGGGACUGGCAUCCAGAGUGAGGUGGGAAAUCCCAUAUGCAAAUCCCAGGGAGGGGGAACUGCCACGUCCUGCUCCCUUUUUGUUCCCUGACAACUGUAGCUGAGAAUCAUGGGUCAGUCUGGGGCUAGUGCCGAUGGUGAGGCAGGAGAAGUGGCCGAAGUAGUAGGGCCCCAUGAGUGUCAGAUUGCAGCACAGGCUCCUCCUGUUCCUCUGGGAAGUAACCUGUCUCACCCCACUGGGCACCCCUGCACACCUGACCCCAUGCCUUCUUUCAUUGCUCCUGUGUUUCUCCCCUGGUCCCUAACCCCUAAGUGUAAUGUUCCCUGCAGGGUUCAUCACCAGCAGCCAGUCGGCAGCUUAUGCUAUCAGCAAGUUUGUCAGUGGGGUGCUGUCUGACCAGAUGAGUGCUCGCUGGCUCUUCUCUUCUGGGCUGCUCCUGGUUGGCCUGGUCAACAUAUUCUUUGCCUGGAGCUCCACAGUACCUGUCUUUGCUGCCCUCUGGUUCCUUAAUGGCCUGGCCCAGGGGCUGGGCUGGCCCCCAUGUGGGAAGGUCCUGCGGAAGGUGAGUGCUUCCAAAGAGCCUGUUUGGAUUGUCAUAGAGGAUGCCUAAAGAGCAUGUGGGAGCGCCCUUUCUUACCCACCACCUCCACACCCAACCCAGAGCAGGUUCCUGAGCAGUUCCUGGCCAGCUCCUAUUGCUUGUCAAGAUAUUUUAGGAGGCUGAGAGUGGUGGGAUCAGGUGGCAGAGGAGGAAACUGCCCUGCCAAACAGAAGCGCCCUCUCCCUCUUCCCUGUAAUGUGAGCUUCUGGGGCUGCCCCAUCUGACCCCACCCUCAACAUGGGCAGUAGGCUGGACACCUACGUGUCGCCCUCUGCCCCACAGUGGUUUGAGCCAUCUCAGUUUGGCACUUGGUGGGCCAUCCUGUCAACCAGCAUGAACCUGGCUGGAGGGCUGGGCCCUAUCCUGGCAACCAUCCUUGCCCAGAGCUACAGCUGGCGCAGCACGCUGGCCCUAUCUGGGGCACUGUGGUGUGGUUGUCUCCUUCCUCUGUCUCCUGCUCAUCCACAAUGAACCUGCUGAUGUUGGACUCCGCAACCUGGACCCCAUGCCCUCUGAGGGCAAGAAGGGCUCCUUGAAGGAGGAGAGCACCCUGCAGGAGCUGCUGCUGUCCCCUUACCUGUGGGUGCUCUCCACUGGUUACCUUGUGGUGUUUGGAGUAAAGACCUGCUGUACUGACUGGGGCCAGUUCUUCCUUAUCCAGGAGAAAGGACAGUCAGCCCUUGUAGGUAAGAUGAGCAUGGGGACAAGGGUGGGCAUAAGGAGCAGGAACCAAUGCAGGGGAUGCAAAUUCAGGCCUUGCUUCCAUUUAUCCUCUUUAUUCGUUCCUUGAGGCCGGGCGCUACUCAGGCAGCUAUGGCCAGUCACCUAUGGGAACCCUGUACCUCUCCAGGUUUAAGCCAUUGUGGGACAACCCCAAUGUGUAACACCCUCCCACCCUUCCCUUCCCUCUUCCCACCACAACUCCCUACUGCAGGUAGCUCCUACAUGAGUGCCCUGGAAGUUGGGGGCCUUGUAGGCAGCAUCGCAGCUGGCUACCUGUCAGACCGGGCCAUGGCAAAGGUGAGCGGGCAGAAGGGACAGGAAGGAGAAGGGUCCCUUUCAGUCUUCACGGCGUGGCUGGGACAGGCACUGGAGAGAUGGGAGUCCCAGGGCACAGGCAGGUUGGCAUCUGCUGGUUUAGACCGGGUGAAGAGGGAAUGAUUCCAGGCUGGUCUUAGCUUUCCUACGGUUGUGGAAGUAAGGCUCUUGGGUAGAGUUUUAACUGAUGUGAAGGACAGCCAGAAUAUUUCUUAGCUUAGCUGUAGGUUGCUCCACAGCCCCAGGAAAAUGGGCUGGGAACAGACUAGGUGCCCUCCCCAGCACGUGUCCUAGUCCUGCCUGACGGGGGAGGAGGGGAUGUUGUAGAGUUUGGCCUCAGAAUGUAAUGAGCAGGUCCCAGGGCCUCCCAGAGCUGCCCAGGGCCAAGAACUGUGGUGGGAUUGCCAAAGACCCGUCAGCAGAGGCCCUGCUGUGUCAGAGUCCAGGGGUGGGUGUUCUCUGCCCUGUUCUGAGGACGUGACAUUGCCGGGACUGUAUCCAUAGGCGGGACUGUCCAACUACGGGAACCCUCGCCAUGGCCUGUUGCUGUUCAUGAUGGCUGGCAUGACAGUGUCCAUGUACCUCUUCCGGGUAACAGUGACCAGUGACUCCCCCAAGGUAAUUAAGAAAGGCCUGGCUCACGGCAGGGCACAAGGAGAGAACGCAAGGGCCACUGACUCUGUCUCCCUCUCCUGGCUUCAGCCUGGGCCAAUCUUUUCUUCGCCUCUCAGAUACCCUUUUCAGUUCUGAUUGGACCGUUCCUCUGUGUCUGGGUUCUCCUCCUCCACUCUGGGCCUGGUUUUCUUUUCUUCCCUGUGCUCCUCUAGGAUGUUGCUUUCUGGACUCUGGCUCUUCACCCUCUCGCGGAGCUCACAGGCUUUACAGAGCAUGAGGUGCCUUAAAGAUAUCUCUGGUUUUUCUCCUGGUCUGUCUCACCUUUGUCCUACCCUUCUGCCUUACCCCUAGCCAAUCCAGUUUGUGUAAAUCCUGAGGACAGCCUCUAGCUCAGAGGGAUGACUUCUGUACCUCCUUUCCUUGCCCACCUAGGUCCCUGGGUUUGCUCAAUGUGGCAUCUCCUACUCUAGCUCUGUAUUGUCAGUUGUGUUGGGGAGUGGAAGGAAAAGAAUCACUUACUUACUGUCCUUUUAUGACUACUGUUUGUUUCUGGGGACCAAGCCUUCUUCUUGCUUUGGCAGGGGUGGGUAGGCAGGUCGGCUUUCCGACUCUGAAUGCCACUCCACUCUGCCCUUGGCAGCUCUGGAUCCUGGUAUUGGGAGCUGUAUUUGGUUUCUCCUCGUAUGGCCCCAUUGCCCUGUUUGGAGUCAUAGCCAACGAGAGUGCCCCUCCCAACUUGUGUGGCACCUCCCACGCCAUUGUGGGACUCAUGGCCAAUGUGGGCGGCUUUCUGGCUGGGCUGCCCUUCAGCACCAUUGCCAAGCACUACAGUUGGAGCACAGCCUUCUGGGUGGCUGAAGUGAUUUGUGCGGCCAGCACGGCUGCCUUCUUCCUCCUACGAAACAUCCGCACCAAGAUGGGCCGAGUGUCCAAGAAGGCUGAGUGAAGAGAGUCCAGGUUCCGGAGCACCAUCCCACGGUGGCCUUCCCCCUGCACGCUCUGCGGGGAGAAAAGGAGGGGCCUGCCUGGCUAGCCCUGAACCUUUCACUUUCCAUUUCUGCGCCUUUUCUGUCACCCGGGUGGCGCUGGAAGUUAUCAGUGGCUAGUGAGGUCCCAGCUCCCUGAUCCUAUGCUCUAUUUAAAAGAUAACCUUUGGCCUUAGACUCCGUUAGCUCCUAUUUCCUGCCUUCAGACAAACAGGAAACUUCUGCAGUCAGGAAGGCUCCUGUACCCUUCUUCUUUUCCUAGGCCCUGUCCUGCCCGCAUCCUACCCCAUCCCCACCUGAAGUGAGGCUAUCCCUGCAGCUGCAGGGCACUAAUGACCCUUGACUUCUGCUGGGUCCUAAGUCCUCUCAGCAGUGGGUGACUGCUGUUGCCAAUACCUCAGACUCCAGGGAAAGAGAGGAGGCCAUCAUUCUCACUGUACCACUAGGCGCAGUUGGAUAUAGGUGGGAAGAAAAGGUGACUUGUUAUAGAAGAUUAAAACUAGAUUUGAUACUG